rnacentral:rRNA from 1 species
GACGAACGCUGGCGGCGUGGAUUAGGCAUGCAAGUCGAACGCGAAAGGGCCUUCGGGCCCGAGUAGAGUGGCGGACGGGUGAGUAACGCGUGGGAAUCUACCUUGGAGCGGGGGACAACCCGGGGAACCCGGGCUAAUACCGCAUACGUCCUAAGGGGAGAAAGAGGGCCUCUGCCUGCAAGCUCUCACUCCAAGAUGAGCCCGCGUCCGAUUAGCUAGUUGGUAGGGUAAAGGCCUACCAAGGCCACGAUCGGUAGCUGGUCUGAGAGGAUGAUCAGCCACACUGGGACUGAGACACGGCCCAGACUCCUACGGGUGGCUG